rnacentral:rRNA from 1 species
UCAGAUGCGAAAGCGUGGGUAGCAAACAGGAUUAGAUACCCUGGUAGUCCACGCCGGUAGACGCUGUCUACUUGGAGGUUGAGGUUUAGACUUUGGCUUUCGGCGCUAACGCAUUAAGUAGACCGCCUGGGGAGUACGGCCGCAAGGUUAAAACUCAAAUGAAUUGACGGGGGCCCGCACAAGCGGUGGAGCAUGUGGUUUAAUUCGAUGCAACGCGAAGAACCUUACCUACUCUUGACAUCCAGCGAAGCCUUUAGAGAUAGAGGUGUGCCUUCGGGAGCGCUGAGACAGGUGCUGCAUGGCUGUCGUCAGCUCGUGUUGUGAAAUGUUGGGUUAAGUCCCGCAACGAGCGCAACCCUUAUCCUUGUUUGCCAGCGAGUAAUGUCGGGAACUCCAGGGAGACUGCCGGUGAUAAACCGGAGGAAGGUGGGGACGACGUUCAAGUCAUCAUGGCCCUUACGAGUAGGGCUACACACGUGCUACAAUGGCAGAUACAGAGGGCAGCGACGCUGCGAAGUAGAGCGAAUCCCUUAAAGUCUGUCGUAGUCCGGAUUGGAGUCUG